UGAGGCUCUGGGGUAAUCCGUUUCAGCUCUGGGAUAAUCCGUUUCAGGGAGGAAUCUGAUUGGCCGUUGAAAUGGAAUGCACAGAUCAAUCUUAGCCAGGAUUCCUGGCUUCCGGCAACGGAUUAUCCCAGAGCCUGGCCUCGCGUUCCUUCCCGAGGAUCGCAGGCUCGGUGAACGAGAUUGACCCACCCAGGGGCGCCGGAGCCACGGGGGCAGCGGGGGCAACUGCCCCCGUUGCCGAAACUGUGCGGGGGCGGCACGGGGGCAACAGGUUGCCCUUUUUCACCAGAACUGCGCUUCGAAAUUUGUGCGGUAUUCACAUGAAUUGGAAUUUAUAACUAUUUUUAAGCAAUGUUUAAGCAAUCUUUGCUUAAUUUUAACCAGUGAUAGUAAAAUUAAUGCCAGAGGCCGCGGAAUCACUUUUGUAUAUUACGAAAGCGGUCACCGAACUGUGGAAUCGCAUCAAAAAUUCGUAUAUCGACCACUCCAACAAACGUCUACG